GUCCCUGUAGCGUAAUGGAUAGCGCGUUGGACUUUUCAUCCAAUGGUCAUGGGUUCGAAUCCUACCUGGGAUG